GGAUGCAGCUCAGUGGUAGAGUGCUUGCCUAACAUUUGCAAGUUCCUGGGAUUGAUCCCCAACACCA
rnacentral:tRNA from 1 species